ACCAGGAUGGCCGAGUGGUUAAGGCGUUGGACUUAAGAUCCAAUGGAUGUAUAUCUGCGUGGGUUCGAGCCCCACUCCUGGUA
rfam:Scleropages formosus scaffold2245, whole genome shotgun sequence.